CUUGGUAUCAUUACAUUCUGAAUAAGUGAACGAUAAUAUUUAGUGUUGAUCUAUUGCACUGUUUUAACAAUGUUCUUAGCUGAAAUCAAGUUUCAGAAUAAUGUUAAGUUAUUCUCAUAGUUUGAGUUGGAAUUUUUAUUUGUAGCAACAUUACAGGAUACACGAUGGACUCACUCCCACUGGAAGCAUUGGAGGUAGUUGCAGGACACCUGACACCCUUCGACCUGGCAGCAUGUUGUGCCGUCAGUAUAGACUGGAGGGAUGCCUUCAACCAGGAUAGAUUGUGGAAGCCACACUGUAACAAGGACACGGCAAAGUACCUGGAGACUGCGGAGUGUAGAGUGGAGCCGAGGUUUGAGUCUCCGGAAUCGGAGGACAGCACGCUGAAUCCUAUCUGUUGCUGGCGGAUGUCUUACAUGCGAGAGACCCACCUGCAGAACAACUGGAGGCAUGGUAGAUCCAUCAAGGAGGAAGUACAUAUCACAGAGAACUUUCGAGACUCGUUCUACCUCUUUGUCUCUGACGAUUAUGCACUCGUGUCAAAUGAAAAAAAAAGUUAUGUUGUGGAACGUUAGAGGUUCUCCAGUUUAUGUAAGAGACCCAAUGAAUUUACUAUUUGAAUCAGAAGGGUACAUGUUCGUACAAAUGAUCAACCCCAACAUGAUGUUGAUUGUCCAAGGAUUAUCUGUACAAGUUUACUGUUUUAAAUCUAUUUUAGACGAAAGUUGGGAAUUAAAACACAUUUUCUUUCUUGACGGAACUGAAAGUGUUUCAUCUAGUGAAGCGGUUAGUCUUAUGUCCGUUAGAUCAAAAUAUUCUUUUAUUUAUGAUGCUCCAAUUGUUUUAGGCAGCAUUUUCAUUGGUUACACCUCAGAGGACCCUAACAUCUUACACAUUUGGAAUGUUCAGGAAGGAAAAAAGUUAAGGACAGUUGAGUGUAAGAUUACAUCGGCACCGUAUAACAAGAUAUGGGCCAUUGUUAAAUCUGACAAACCAUCUUUAGACAUCGUAGUGAUUGUCAGGAAUAUUUUCAAUUCUAAAAACACGUUUCACUUUUACAUCUACAGUUUGAAACAUUUGGAUUUCCUCCCUUUCCACGAAACACAUGAUAAGCCUAACUAUUUUAUACGUGAUAUGAAAUGUGUGUUACAAGGCAGAUUUCUUGCUGUUACUGUCAAUGGUCCACUCUUCAUAUAUAACUACCUGACGUCACAGCUUGUACAUACAAUAUCAACUACAACCAACUGUGAUGUCCUUGCUGUCAACAAUCACAUUUUGUUCUCUGAACAACAAAUGUUUUACAAGAUUUUCAAUACAAAUACUUUAGAACUUAAAAAUAUAACGGUGACCAACAAUACAGAAGUUCCUACAAUAUAUGAUUUUGGAGAAAUUUUAUUCGGCAAGUUUUUUUACACAUUAGAUCGUCCCAGGAAUGAACAAGUAUGGGUAAUGGGAGAUAACCCAAUGUCAGAAAAAGUGACAUGGUUAGGAUGUUUAAAAUAUGACAAACACAGUAAAAUUAACAAAUCAAAUACAAAAUUAAUUGUUGUACCAUCAUUCCAUGAAAAUUAUUUUAUAUAUGAAAAUUUUUGGUAAUGUUUAAAAAAACUAUUAAUGCACAGUGUUAUUGUUAUUAUAUGUUAAUGGUACAGUUCAGUGUACGAGAAUAUUUUGCCUUCAUAGUGCGUGUUGGUUCAUAGUAUUAAGAUUAUAUAAUAUAAUCAUACUUGAUGUUGUCUGAUCAGUAUUCCUAAAUUAUAACUUCUGUGUUACUUUUACUGUCUUUCAGUACAUAAGACUACAGAAUAAACCAAAUUAUAAUUUUUAAUUAAGUAAGACAUGUUCACUCAUUUGGCCAAGAUUUAAGAUUCUAGAUUUAAGAUUGGCCAUAAAUAUAGAGAACAAGUAGUUGCCAGGUACAACUCCAUUUUCUUUAAAUAGCAGCCCACUUCCCCAUGUUGUAGGUAUUAAAUUAAGUACAUAUUUAUUUAUUAAGGAUUUUCCACCUGAUGAAGAAUGCGGAGUUUAAUCCUUGAAAUGUAGUGUUAUAAAGUUUGUAACUUAUAACGAUGGCAUAUGUCCUUAAGGCUACAUGUGUUACUAUUAUCAAAUAUUACAAUUGCAUAUGAUUUGUGCUCUGCUACAAAAUGUACUAAUUCUGCUUUCCUGGGCCACAAUGGUUACCACAUUACCAAUAAAAACAUUAUUUGCUAACGCACAGGCCCAUCACCGUUGAAUGGAAAGCUUUGUGACCGAACUGUUACUUAUAUUAUACAAAUUAAGCUUUAUACAAAAUUUCAAGGCUAUAGUACUCUCUCGAGAUAUCAGGUGGAUAGAGACGCAAGACAGAAAUGAAAUUGUCUAGCCUCUUGAGUUAUAGGCUCCACUAACACUCAGAUAAUUAUACUUAUAGCAAAUUAAUUAGUUCCUGAGUGUUUGUAUAUAUUGAGCUAGUUUAACAUUGAAACAGGUUUUAUCACAAAUUAGGUAAAAUGAAAAAUUCAACCGAAAAAUGCUGGUUUAGAAUGUGCCUGGUGUACUACACAGAUAAAUCAGAAAAAAUAAGAUUCAUCAAAUGGAAAUCUUUUUUUAACCAACAAAUAUUAUUCUAUGAUUAUGUGUGAACGUUUGGUGCUGUAUUGGUGUUUGAGUAAGAAAUGGUGGUUUCAAGUGCUGCCAGUCUGAUGGUGUUCCUAAUUAGCUUUUCUAAUUAGUUUACUAAGUGACCAUAUCUUUGGUGGUGAUCUGUAUAACCUGUUACUGGCACUAAUACUGCCCAUCUGUAAUAGCGACGGGGUACAAUGGUUAUGUUCAAUCUUUUACAUGACUGUGUAAUGUUUCAGACACGUUUAUCCUUCAAAAAAACAAAACUGUCAAUCUGAACUGGGAGCAAGCGUAGAAACAAUCGUCAGCUCUUUGACAGUGAAAAUGCCUACGAAAGAAGUCGAAAAAAUUCUGGAAUUCCUCGCCAGCGAAGGCCAUGUUUAUUCCCCCUCUGAUGACAGACACUAUAAAGCGACUGAUUCUUUCAACUAAUAAUUGAUUACAUUUUGUUCCAAACAACAUUUUUUGUAAUUUUUAAGCUUUUUUCCACAUAUUAGUCGAGUAAAUGAAAUUUGAAACCGGU